UUCAGCAUUUUGUUACUCCUCUCUGACUUUUCUUUGCUCAAGUGAAAGCAUUGUAGGUGUGGCAGCAGGGGGAGGAAAUGCAGCUGGAUGUCACAUCUGUGCCUGAUGAUAUUUACUAGUGCCUUGUUAUAGAGUGCAUGUUAGCUCUGUGUCACGUUCUCUCUGACAUGGUAUGAUCUGGAUGUAAUGACAGCAAUUGCUGAGCUGGUAAGAGUUGCUACCGCUGCGGUUAUAGCAGUGUCAAAGUGUUUGGAGGAUGUAAUUGAUUUAACAGGAAUUGAUGUUAUUUUUCUGAUGGUUCUAAUACUUAAGAUUCUGGUCACCUAGCAAAGGAGCUGGCUUGGAGUGGUGCAAACCAAAAGGCCAGCUUUAUCACACUUUCUCACAUUCCCUGUGGCUUUUGUGCAUCCUUUGCUUUCUUGAAACUGUCACGUGGCCUUUCUUUUACCAUGACUUUAAACCUGCAGAAAUAGACAUGUUUCCAUGCCUAAAAAUACCAAACAUUAAAAUAUCUAGGAAAUGUGCAAGGGGCAGAAAGUUGGUUCUAAAACAAGAAAACUAGGCUCAUUUGUUUGUUUUUAGCAGUGUGGUUCAUUAUUUAAAUACUCUAGCCAGAAAGAUAAACUGGAAGUUGUAAAUGUUGGAAUAUGUUCAGGUUUUGCAGCACCCCUGUCCCACUCUGUAUUUUCCCAUGGAGAGCUGCAAGACAAAUGUUUUAUACCUUUGUGCUUUCUGUUCCAUCUUUGUUUGGUUCCAGAGUAAAGCUGGGAUUUCCUUUGGAAGUUAAUUGAUUGAGGAACAGAGACCCCUCCUGCAGAGGGAAAAAAUUUUGUUCUUGAUUUGAUUACAAACAAGUGUUUUGUGGAAAAAUAUUAGCCCAGAAAGUCUAUUAGGAAAUAUGCUUAGUUGGCAUUGUAAUUAUCCAGUGUUGAAGCUGAGCCUCAUCGAGAUUCGCUCCAUGCUGGACUCGAAAGAGGUGCUUUUUUGAACUGAAAUUCCAAACAUGUUUCAAGUAGUCCCUUUAUUUUCUCAUCACUUAGAUGGUCUGUGUAGGUGAAAUUCUCGUAGCCACACUGCAGCUGAGAUCACCUGUGCUGAUAGCUGCUAUUAAACUGCAUUUGAAAGAAUAUAUUGCCUGUUAAAAUUCUUAGGGUCUUAGAAUAUAAAUUGUCAUAUGCUAAUUUUUAACUGAAAAGGUGAUCUGUUUCAAGCAUUUCCUUUUAGUUACUCACUCAUAAGCAAUUGGUGUGUUUGGAAAGGUUUGAUUGAGAAAGGCAAACACUGUGAAACUUCUUAUCUUCUUUACUUUUGUAAAAGUACCACCACUAAGUUUGUGAUACUUCUGGAGAAAAUAUAAUGGAUGUCUUUAUAUAGAUAGAGAUCUAGUCUUUAUGUUCCUUUUCUUCCAAUUCACCUCACCAGCUGUGCAUUGAGCAGAGCUUCAUCUACCUUGGUGAGUAAUGCAAUGCAGCAGGAAGAGAUUUGUAUAAUGCAGUGGUGCUGAGGAACCCUCAUCACUCUGUGUGCAUUUCAGAGGUUUUAUGCAGACCAGAUCUCGUUCUGUCUGAUCAAACUCCUUGAGCCACCAUGAUAAGCGAUUCUGAUGGAGAUAGAAGCAAGCCACCUUCCCUGUGCUUCCCAUCACUUGCUAAUAAUCUUGAGCAGUGACUUGAACAUCUUGUUCACCCAAGUUCCUUCUGAAGACCCUGUGACAAUGCAGCAGUCACCCUUCACCAGUGGGCAUUGUGAAAUGAUGAGGCAGUACCUUUCUGCAGGGUACACAUUGAUAAGGCCUUGAGGCCAUUAUUCCCUUGGCUAAGCUUUUCUAGAAGCAAAGAGAUGGGAGGCAUUUUGUCCUAUAGCAAUGCACACAUCUAAAAUGAGGCAGUUAAGAUUUAUUUUCCCUGUCUGCUUUCUCCCAUAAGGUCUUGAUCUUUUUACACUUGCGUCAGUGAAACUCAGGAGUAAUUCCGAUGAGGUCAGUGAAUCUGUAUGAGUGCACAGCUGGUGUAACUGGAGGCAGACACAAUCAAGCAUAAUUCAUAGAAUCACAGAAUGCCUUGAGUUGGAAGGGGCCUUAUAGAUAAUCUAGUUCCAACCUGCCCACCUUGGGCAGGGACAUCUUUCACUACACCAGGUUACUCAGAGCCCCAUCCAACCUGGUCUUUAACACUGACAAGGUUGAGGCAUCUAUCUCUUCUCUGGGGAACCUGCUCCAGUGCCUCACCACCCUCAUAUUAAAGAAUUUCUUUCUAACAUCUAAUAUCAACCUACCUUCUUUCAGUUUAAGGCCAUUCCCCAUGUCCUGUCUCUGCAGUUCCUGACAACAAAUUCCUGUCCAGCUUCCCUGUAUCUUCCAUCAGAUACUGGAAAGCUACUGUUAGGUCUUCAUACAACCUUCUCUUCUCCAGGCUGAACAGUUCUCUCAGCCUGAGUUCAUAGAAUAGGUGCUCCAGUCCUGUUAUCAACUUCUGGAUGGCCUCUCUGGACUUGCUCCAACAGUUCCAUAUUUUUAUGUUGGGAUCACCAGAGCUGGAUGCAGCACUCCAGGUGGGGUCUCACAAGUGCAGAGUACAGGGGCAGAAUCCCCUUCCUUGCCCUGCUGGCCCUGCUGCUUUGGAUGCAGCCUGGGAUUCAGUUAGCUUUUUGGACUGUGAGCACACAUUGCUUGGUCAUGUUGAGUUUUUUGUCAACCAUCAUCACUCUAUGGUGGUUGAGGUUACAGACAGUUGCAGUUCUCAGUGCUGGAUUGGUUCUGAAGGGAGAAUAAUUCUUGGGUGGAACUGAAAGGCUGGAAGAAGUUUCCUUGCUAGGCAGUGCAUCCAGCACAUCAUUGACUUACUGACCACUGUGGGAAGCAGUGUCAUGUUUUCCUGGAUUUCCUUGAAAAUCUAUUGUAGCUUCCCCCAGCCAUAAAUUCUCAUGUUUAGCUGCAUUCCAGAACUAAUAAUAAAUAGAAACACUUUAGAUGGGGCCAUGGAAAGCUGUUUUGGGGGUUUUAUCAUAUUAAAGGCUUUCUGAUAUGAUAACAGACUAAAGGCUUUUUAAUCAAAAUUGCUCUAAAGGAAACUUUUAAAUAUAUAUUCUACAUAAGGAGAAAAUAAACCCAAAAUAAGCAAACUAAUUUCAGCUAAACAUGUGCAUAGAAAGCAUUGUCUUGAAAAGAGUAGGCAAUAGUCAUCUUUGUAAAUCCAUUUGUAUCCAUUUGAGAUAGUCUAGUUUAUCCUAGGAGCAUCAUGGGGAGUAAGGAAGACAAAUGGAGAAGACAAACAAGGAAGAAAGAACUGUCCUUUCAGUGCUGAGCUGCUUGAUGAAUUGUGACUUUUUUGUUUGUGUAAAAAGUCAGCUGGAAAGCUGGAUUAUAGAGACUGCAUAACAGUUGCAAAGAAAAGUAGGAAAAUGUCUCUCAUGAUUGCUGUGAAUGUGUAGUCCUCUGUCAUGCUCUAGUGUUUCUUAGCCUGGGGAAUACAAUACUGGGUGUAUAAAUUAACUGUUUAUUAUUAUGAAAAGGUGUCUGUGCCAGACAAUCUACUGAGAAAGUAAGUGUCAUAGAUCUACUGUGUGGUAGUUGUGAGUCAGAUUGUUUAACACAAUGGGAGAACUUGGUAAUUGGAGUGUAGCAAUGUGGCCAUUGGGGACUUGGGUGUAACGAACAGUAAGGAAAGUGGUGCAUACUAGCCAUGUCUCAUCAUUCAUAGCAGGGCUGUAAGCAGGAAAAGAGACAAUGAACUGAAGGAUGGGAAGGAGAAAGAAGUCAUCAAUAAGGAACAUGAUUUACACACUUUUCUUACUUCAGUGUACAAUCAUAAUAUCACCCCCUUCAGCUGGCUGUUAAUCAAGCAAUUGACAGGUGUUGGAACAGCAGCAGAUCUUACCUGUAGCUGUUCAAACCUCUGUUUGCUUAUCAGCCAGCCACUUUCUGGGUCUUUUUAAAAAUGUUAAGAUGAAUCACAUCUCUUUUCCUGAAGAAUAAAUAAUGUCAUUCUUAUCUGGAUGUACUAAAUACAAAUUUUAGCCUUUUUCCCAGGCUGGCUACUGAA